GAUGAACGCUAGCGGCAGGCUUAACACAUGCAAGUCGAGGGGUAUGCUUCUUCGGAAGCAGAGACCGGCGCACGGGUGCGUAACGCGUAUGCAAUCUACCUUUUACAGAGGGAUAGCCCAGAGAAAUUUGGAUUAAUACCUCAUAGUAUUAUAGAAUGGCAUCAUUUUAUAAUUAAAGUCACAACGGUAAAGAUGAGCAUGCGUCCCAUUAGCUAGUUGGAAGGUAACGGCUUACCAAGGCUACGAUCGGUAUCCGGCCUGAGAGGGCGGACGGACACACUGGGACUGAGACACGGCCCAGACUCCUACGGGAGGCAGCAGUGGGGAAUUGUUCGCAAUGGGCGCAAGCCUGACGACGCAACGCCGCGUGGAGGACGAAGAUUUUCGGAUCGUAAACUCCUUUCGAUCGGGAAGAACAGCUUUCGGGUUAAUAGCCUGGAGGUCUGACGGUACCGAGAGAAGAAGCCCCGGCUAACUCUGUGCCAGCCGCCG
rnacentral:rRNA from 1 species